GAAGGUGUAUCUAGAAAGACAAAUUAGAGCUUGAAAAAUAAAGCAUUUCAUUUACAUUGAAAAGUAUAUUGUGUAAUUCAAUUUAAUUUGAUAAUAAAAAUUUAUUAAUUUUUUUUUUGUUUAAAAAUUUAUUUAAUAAAAUUAAUUUUAAAUUAAGUUUUUUUUGUAUAGUAUAUAGAUCAAAUAAUUUAUAUGAUAGUUAAUUAGUAUUGUAAAAGAAUAUUGAAAUAUUUGAAAAAAUUUUAAAUUAAAAGUAAAUUUUAUAUAUUGUACCUUGUGUAUCAGGGUUUAUUAAUUAAAAAUUAAAUCUUUAAUUUUUCUCGAAUUUAAGAGAGUUAAUUUAUUAUUUAAUUUUUUGUUUCAUAAAAAUUUAAAAUAAUAAAUUAGAAAUGAAAUGUUAUUCGUUCUUUAAUAUAUCUAGUUUUUUAAGAAAUAAAUUAAAUUUAGAUUAUUAAUAAAUAAUUAUUUAUUUAAAUAAUAAAUUAUUAUUAAUAAUUAAUAUUUUAAGGGAUAAGCUUUAAAAUAAGUUUUAUAAUGAUUUUUUAAUUUAAAAAUUAUAGGUUUAGAAAUAGUCAUUAAUUAUAAAAAUGUUAUAAUUUAUUUUAAGUUAAAAAUAAUUUUUAUUAAUUUAAGUUUUUAUUAAAAUAAUUUUUAAAAUUAUAUAAGAAUUAAAAUAAUGAUAAAAUUAGUAUAUUUAAUUGUUUAAAAUAAUUAAAUUGAGAGGUUAAAUUAAGGAAUUUGGCAAAUAAAUACUCGCCUGUUUAACAAAAACAUGUCUUUUUGAAUAUAAUUUAAAGUCUAAUCUGCCCACUGAAAAAUUUUAAAGGGCCGCGGUAUU
rnacentral:rRNA from 1 species